rnacentral:lncRNA from 1 species
CCCCUUCCGUCUCUAACCUCAGAGACCAACCAAACCCAUCCAUGUGAAACACUAGUCGCCAUCAAACCCUCUCACCUCAAACCCGAUGGCAACAACGUCGCCGGCCACCAAACUUAUACCCCUGAACCACCCUAAUCCCCUCUCUCCAAAUCCACCCUCAUCUUACCUAGGAUUAACCUCGAGUUUCUCGAAUCUUCAUUUGAAGAUUCGAGCAAAACUCGAACCAAUCACAAUCGGUCCCAAAAUCACACCAUAGCUUUCCCUAGCCUCCCUCAUCACCAAACCAUUGUUGAUUUGGUUCGAAUCAAACCCAAACCACUCGAACCCCAAAUUCGAGCCGAAGAACCCUAGAAAAAUCGAGCAUGGAUUUUGUCCGAAUUGAAGAGUUUUUGGUUGUUCAAUGGACUUUAGUCGAUGUGUUCUCAGUUGAGAACCCUCGAUCAAAGUCCGUUUGGCCUCAAAAGUUCGAAAUCCGUUUGGUCUGAGUUCGUCUUUUCCCUGUUCACUUUUGAGGUAUUUAUUUUCCCUUUUCUUCUAUUUCUCUUAUGUUCCUAUGUCUGUUAUUUGUUUAGAUUCAUUGUAUCAAUUUGUUUUCAAUUUUUUGCCAAGUGUUCUUCUUCUUCUGCCAAAUACCUUUUAUUUGGUCAAUUUUAUUCUGUUUGUGAUUGUGGUCGUUGUAAACUACAUAUUCAACUUGAUUAAUAUCAUUAGUUUCAUAAUCCCCUAUUUUGUAUGAAUGCUAUGAAUCACACUGUUUUUGGGUCGAUUAUUUGUUAUCGAUUAUAUGUGUUGUAAUCGAUUAAAUAAAUGUCGUCGAUUAGUUGUAUAGGUUUGAUUGUUAGAUUAAUGCUGACAAUAGUAUUAUUGAUACUAUCUAAUUUUGUCCGAAUUAUUGUUUGAAUUAAAGUCUGAAUGGUUUACAGCUGAAUUAGGUUUGAAUUGGUUAUAGCCGAACUUAGGAAAUGGAAUCUAGCUACAAUUUUAAUAGAAAUUUUCAGAGUUUAGUCUAAGUGGGCUGUUAGUUUAGCAUGUGUUGGACCAUUAGAUGAGUUUAAUUUUAAAAAGCUGAAAUGCACAUGAGAAUGGUAGUGGAACCUGGUGUACAGUAGGACUUUCAUUACAUUCUGAUUUACAGAAAUUUUAAAAUAAGAGUUCCAUGCCUAGAAAAAUUUAAGUGGGAAAAUAGAGGGAAUAAUCAGUUUUUAAAAGGUUUUCAACAGACUGUAAGGUGAGUUCAGUUUGGCUAUAUAAGAGGUAUUCCAGAAUAGUUUUAAAGAGUCUUUUGAAAAAUCAGAAAGGUUAGAAGAAUUUUCAGAGAAAUAGAUAGAGAGUGAGGUUGGAAGUUGAACUAAAUUUCCAGAAUUAAAGAGUGAUAUAGGUUGAGCUGUGCUUAAAGGUUUCAGUGGGUUUUCUUUGAGUAUUUACAAUCAGAAAUAUUGUCCUUGCAUUUGCCUUGCUUUUCACUUAACUGUGAGCGCAUUUGGAGUGUUACUGGGUGUUUAGUGUGAUAUAUCUUGGGUUUUCUGCUGGUAUUUAUCUUCUGAGCUAUUGUUAUCCAUUUGGUGUUGCUAGGCUUUUCUAUUGGGGAUUCAAACACUGUUGCAUUGGUUUCUUGGAUUCUUUCUAUUUGGUUUUCAAUCUGCUCCUCCUACUGUUAUUGGUCUACUACUGGUGUUGCUGAAUCUGUUGUUGUGUUCAUUGUGCUACUGGUGCCAUCACUGAUCUUCCUUCUCUUUCUUUUCUUUUCCAAAUACCAGGUACACAUUGCUACACUGGUACACUUGAAGGCUGAACUUGAAGCAUGAAAUAUAAAUGAAGAACUGAAGUUUUACGUUUAUCUUAGUUGUAUUCUGUAUGUAUAUAAUGGAAUCCUUGAAAGUAGUUUAGUGAACAAAUCUCUUAUGUAUGCUGCCAUCACUGAUCUUCCUUCUCUUUCUUUGCUUUUCCAAAUACCAGGUACACAUUGCUACACUGGUACACUUGAAGGCUGAACUUGAAGCAUGAAAUAUAAAUGAAGAACUGAAGUUUUACGUUUAUCUUAGUUGUAUUCUGUAUGUAUAUAAUGGAAUCCUUGAAAGUAGUUUAGUGAACAAAUCUCUUAUGUAUGUUAGCUAGAAAAGAACUCAUGAUGCAGUAGCCAUAUCCUUCCCCCUCCAGCCUAUUUCUCUUAUAACCCAUUUCAAAUGCAUAUCAAGUUUUAAGUCAAGUAAUCAGUAGUUAAAACUCUUUAGUUAACAAUUU